rnacentral:rRNA from 1 species
UACGUAGGGGGCAAGCGUUUUCCGGAAUCAUUGGGCGUAAAGCGCGCGUAGGCGGCUCGGUCAGUCCGCUGUGAAAGUCAGGGGCGCAACCCUUGAAUGCCAGUGGAUACUGCCGGGCUAGAGUCCGGAAGAGGCGAGUGGAAUUCCUGGUGUAGCGGUGGGAUGCGCAGAUAUCAGGAGGAACACCAAUAGCGACGGCAGCUCGCUGGGACGGUACUGACGCUAAGGCGCGAAAGCGUGGGGAGCGAACAGG